rnacentral:rRNA from 1 species
UACGGAGGGGGCCAGCGUUGCUCGGAAUCACUGGGCGUAAAGGGCUCGUAGGCGGUCUGAUAAGUCCUGUAUGAAAUCCCUUGGCUUAACCAAGGAACUGCGCCGGAUACUGUCGGACUAGAGGCCGGGAGAGGGAAGCGGAAUUCCGAGUGUAGCGGUGAAAUGCGUAGAUAUUCGGAGGAACACCGGUGGCGAAGGCGGCUUCCUGGACCGGUUCUGACGCUGAUGGGCGAAAGCUAGGGUAGCAAACAGG